rnacentral:rRNA from 1 species
UACGGAGGAUGCAAGCGUUAUCCGGAAUUACUGGGCGUAAAGGGCGCGUAGGCGGCGAUCCUAGUCAGAUGUGAAAGUCCUGGGCUUAACCUGGGGACUGCAUUUGAUACUGGAUUGCUUGAAUUCGGGAGAGGAUAGCGGAAUUCCCAGUGUAGAGGUGAAAUUCGUAGAUAUUGGGAAGAACACCGGUGGCAAAGGCGGCUAUCUGGACCGACAUUGACGCUGAGGCGCGAAAGCGUGGGGAGCAAACAGG